rnacentral:lncRNA from 1 species
UAAUCAAUUUCAAGGUUUCUUUUCUCGUGAGAAUCAACAAACAUAGCUUUACGUACGGUAACCAAAAAUAAUAUUUCACACACAAUAGCUUUGCAUAAAAAUAACUUCAACGCAAAAUUCAUAACACGAAGACAACAACAUGACCAUUUGCGAGGAAUAAUUUUCAGGCCAACACCUUAGUGCAAACACCAAUAUUAACAAAAUACAUCAACUACACUAAUCACUUAUUCAGCUACCCACAAAUCAUGCUAGCCCCUUCCCUUUCAUAUCCACUUCUGCACUUUCGUUGCCAUUCCUUAUUGUCACAUUUAAAGAAAUCUCAAUGUUUCGUUCCUUAGACACCACGUGACAAAGAGACUGGAACAUGCGAGAGAACUGCUGAACAUCUUCAAGUGCUGCAUGAUUAUUCGAGUUCGCGGUAACAUUACUUGACCCACUGCUUGAUUCUCCCUCAUCGACCCAUGCCCAAUAUUUACAAUUAGCACUGCAGCACUCGAACAAUCUUCCCUUGUUCUUUGUCUCCCUCUCGACCUCAAAGCACUUCACAAUUCCACAUUUACACAAGGGGCAUCGCCUUUUGUUUGGGCAAUCCGCAAACAAGUGACCUUUCCCUCUACAGCUAUGACAAAGUCUGGAGUUCUAUCCCGGCAUACUACACACA